GCAAUGUUCAAUCCAUAAGGCUUUGUUUGCACUUCUUGUGAUAUUCAGGAAAUAGUUUGAUGUAAUGCAGAGCUGCCAGUGACAGACAAUACAGCACAUUACCCAGGCUGACAACAGCUACUGGCUUGUGCUUAAAUACCAUUUCAUUCUGACUGAGGUCAUCAUCUUUGAGCUCCUGCAAUGAGGAGCUCAAUAGGGUGGGGGAUGCUGUCCUUUGCCUCAGGUGCUCUUUGGGGGCUUUAAUAAAAGAGGGUCAGAGCCGCCGAUGGGGUCUAGGAGACCCUAAGAGUUCUGACGGUCAGGCUGAGAAUUGUGUCCUCAGGGAGUGGGAGCUGCUGCAGGUCUGAGCACGAAGGGCUCCAGCACCAGGACAGGAGCCUCCAGCCACCUCCACCUUGCAGCCCCUGAAGCCUCAGCUGAUGGAUCCAGGGCUGGGUACUGAGCCGUACUGGACCAGUGGGCCCCCUCCUGGGAUCGCUGGACUUGGAGCAGAAGAGUCCCUCCAGGGCUGAAGAUUGGACACAGAAAACUUGGGAACUGUCAACUGCCCUGUUAUUCACCUCGUGAAAAAAGCUGGAUUUCAAUGACAGCGAAUGGAGCUGACAAUUCCCAGAAACUGGAAUUGGGAUGGUGAGAUUUUAGUUCAGCCCCCGGCGGUCUCAUGCGUGGAGGUGAUAAGGUUGAACUUUGAGGUGUCUUCAGAGGGAGAGAAAUACCCUCCGCAGGCAGAGCUUCCCGGGUUCCAGGCCCUUCCGGACGUCAACACAGGUCCAGCUGCCCCUGGGCUCCUCCGCACACCCUGGGUGCAAGAAUAAAUCCUUCUCGGGCCGGGCGCGGUGGCUCACGCUUGUAAUCCCAGCACUUUGGGAGGCCGAGGCGGGCGGAUCACGAGGUCAGGAGAUCGAGACAACGGUGAAACCCCGUCUCUACUAAAAAUACAAAAAAUUAGCCGGGCGUGGUGGCGGGCGCCUGUAGUCCCAGCUACUCGGAGAGGCUGAGGCAGGAGAAUGGCAUGAACCCGAGAGGCGGAGCUUGCAGUGAGCCGACAUUGCGCCACUGCACUCCAGCCUGGGCGACAGAGCGAGACUCCGUCUCAAAAAAAAAAAAAAAAAAAAAAGAAUAAAUCCUUCUCCUCUCUGCCGCCA